GGGGAUAACCCGCGGAAACGCGGCCUAAUACCCCGUGACGCCACCGGAGGGCAUCCUCCGGUGACCAAAGGAGCGAUCCGGUGGCGGAUGGGCAUGCGGCGCAUUAGCUAGACGGCGGGGUGACGGCCCACCGUGGCGACGAUGCGUAGGGGUUCUGAGAGGAAGGCCCCCCACACUGGGACUGAGACACGGCCCAGACUCCUACGGGAGGCAGCAGUGAGGAAUAUUGGUCAAUGGGCGGAAGCCUGAACCAGCCAAGUCGCGUGAGGGAUUAAGGCCCUGCGGGUCGUAAACCUCUUUUGCCGGGGAGCAGUGGUCCGGACGCGUCCGGACCGGGAGAGUACCCGGAGAAAAAGCAUCGGCUAACUCCGUGCCAGCAGCCGCGGUAAUACGGAGGAUGCGAGCGUUAUCCGGAUUUAUUGGGUUUAAAGGGUGCGUAGGCGGGCAUUUAAGCCGGCGGUCAAAUGUCGGGGCUCAACCCCGGCCUGCCGUCGGAACUGGGUGCCUUGAGUGGGCGAGAAGUAUGCGGAAUGCGUGGUGUAGCGGUGAAAUGCAUAGAUAUCACGCAGAACCCCGAUUGCGAAGGCAGCAUACCGGCGCCCUACUGACGCUGAGGCACGAAAGUGCGGGUAUCGAACAGGAUUAGAUACCCUGGUAGUCCGCACAGUAAACGAUGGAUAAUAUCUGUCCGGGCCGAAUGAGGCCUGGGUG
rnacentral:rRNA from 1 species